ACAGGAAUCUCCACCUGUUGUCCAUCGACUACGCCUUUCGGCCUCGCCUUAGGUGCCGACUGACCCCGGGCGGACGAACCUGCCCCGGGAAGCCUUGGGAUUCCGGCGACCGGAAUUUCCAUCCGGUUUUCCGUUACUCAUGUCCGCAUAAUCGCUCGUGCGAAGUCCACCGCCCGUCUCCGGCGCGGCUUCGCCGUCCCCGCUUCCAAGAAAAGACCACGCGUAUUAACCCGUCGGCCGUACCGAAACCGACACAGGUGGGAUGGUACAAGGAUACCAAGGCGCGCGGGAGAAACCUCGUUAAGGAACUCGGCAACAUGACCCCGUAACUUCGGGAGAAGGGGUCCUCCGGGGCAAUGCCCGGAGGCGCAGCGAAACGGCCCAUGCGACUGUUUAGCAAAAACACAGCACUCUGCCAACCCGUGAAGGGGAAGUAUAGGGUGUGACACGUGACCAAUGCGGAAAGGUCAAGGCGAGGAGUCAGCGCAAGCGAAGCCCCGAACCAAAGCCCCCGUGAAUGUCGGCCGUAACUAUAACGGUCCUAAGGUAGCGAAAUUCCUUGUCGGGCAAGUUCCGACCUGCACGAAUCGUGUAACGAUAUGGGCGCUGUCUCAACGAGGAUCUCGGUGAAGUUGUAGUGCCGGUGAAAAUGCCGGAUACCCGCAGAAGGACGGAAAGACCCCAUGAACCUUUACUGUUGCCUGGCAUUGGCGGCUGGGCGGCCAUGUGUAGCAUAGGUGGGAGGCAUCGAUGCCCCGGCGCCAGCCGGGGCGGAGCCUUCAGUGAAAUACCACCCUUGGCCGUCCGGUCUCCUAACCGCGCGCCGUGGAUCCGGCGCCGGGACCGCGCCAGGCGGUCAGUUUGACUGGGGCGGUUUCCUCCAAAAAGGUAACGGAGGAGUUCGAAGGUCGGCUCACCGCGUUUGGCAAGCGCGGGCGCGAGCGCAAGGGCACAAGCCGGCCUCACUGCAAGACCGACGGGUCGAGCAGCCGCGAAAGCGGGACCUAGUGAUCCAGCGGUGGAACGUGGCAUCGCCGUUGCUCAUCGGACAAAAGGUACUCUGGGGAUAACAGGCUGAUCGCGCCCAAGCGUCCACAGCGACGGCGCGGUUUGGCACCUCGAUGUCGGCUCAUCACAUCCUGGGGCUGAAGCAGGUCCCAAGGGUUGGGCUGUUCGCCCAUUAAAGUGGUACGUGAGCUGGGUUCAGAACGUCGUGAGACAGUUCGGUCCAUAUCCAUCGCGGGCGUAAGAGAUUUGAAGGGAGCUGCUCCUAGUACGAGAGGACCGGAGUGGACGGACCAACGGUGUACCAGUUAUUGCGCCAGCAGUACAGCUGGGUAGCUGCGUCCGGAAGGGAUAAACGCUGAAAGCAUCUAAGCGUGAAGCCUGCCUUGAGAUGAGAUCUCUCACAGCGUAAGCUGGUAAGACUCCUUGAAGACGACAAGGUUGAUAGGCUGGAAGUGGAAGAGUGGCAACAUUCGAAGCGGACCAGUACUAAUAAGUCGAGGGCUUAAUUA
rnacentral:rRNA from 1 species